GGCCUGGUGACUCAGCUGGUAGAGUGUGGGCUGUACAAUGCGCAGGUGGCGUUCAUUCGUGGGUUCGAAUCCCAUCAAAGCUA
rnacentral:tRNA from 1 species